CCUACGGGAGGCAGCAGUGAGGAAUAUUGGUCAAUGGCCGGAAGGCUGAACCAGCCAUGCCGCGUGAAGGUCAGUGCCCUAUGGGCGUUAAACUUCUUUUGUGCGGGAGCAAUAAUGGUCACGUGUGGCCAGACGAGAGUACCGUACGAAUAAGCAUCGGCUAACUCCGUGCCAGCAGCCGCGGUAAUACGGGGGAUGCAAGCGUUAUCCGGAUUUAUUGGGUUUAAAGGGUGCGUAGGCUGUGAGGUAAGUCAGCGGUGAAAUGCCCCCGCUCAACGGGGUGAAGUGCCAUUGAUAGUGCCUGGCUGGAAUGCGGAUGCCGUGGGAGGAAUGUGUGGUGUAGCGGUGAAAUGCAUAGAUAUCACACAGAACACCGAUUGCGAAGGCAUCUCACGAAUCCGCGAUUGACGCUGAUGCACGAAAGCGUGGGUAUCAAACAGGAUUAGAUACCCGGGUAGUC
rnacentral:rRNA from 1 species